CUAGAUUCUAGUGUGAUACCUAUGACCCUUUUUGUGUCAUGCUCAGCUUAUAAUGACUAGAGGAUCUAUUCUUGAGAGUCACCAAUGCCUCUCCCUUGCUUCUCCAGCUGCUGAGCAUUGAAAAGCCCUAAUGAGACAGCAUCUGUUUGCAGCCAUACUGGAUUAUUCUUCUUCACUUUAUCUCUCUGAGUCACCUCCACUCACAGUCCACGUUAAGAACAAAUGAAAUGGGUAUCACCAUCUGAAUAUCUUAGUAUCACCUACUCAGCAUUUCUAGCCUAAUACUGUGCCUAUGGAAAUCUCAAGCUUCCCUGAGUGUUGCUGCCCCAGCAAGAAGAAUGAAGAACUGAGGUCAAACCCCAGUGAACCUUUCAAGGGGUUAGAAGAAAGCCAUCAGAGAUACUGCACUUCAUUGUCCUUAGAUUAAAUCAAGAUGAUACAACGUGAACCUAUUGGGAUAUUCAACCAUACAUCUUCCUCACAACCCCACCUAUCUGAGUUCAUUGCUUGGCAGAAUUCAUGCCCCACCAUCCUAGAUAUUUCUUGAUUCAUUGCUGCCAAGGGCCAGGUUUCUUAAGUUUUGUUUUUUAUAGAAUUGGGUGUAGUCAAUCAUAGUUGCCCUCUGUAAGAAAUGACAAAUAUCUAUAAUAACUGACCACACUGUACUUGUGUAUACAAGUACAGUAGUGGAAAAUUCAGCAUAACUGAGGAGUGGGAAAUCACCACUGUGUCCUGGCCUUUCUCUGCCCAUAUCACAGCUCACAGGCGGCUGGGGCAAACCUUGAGUUCCUCUGUAGAAACAGAGUGAUGUUGAAUGGACACUGAGCAGGCAGAGCAAUACAGCUGAGGCAACUCAAUUCCAGCAACAAAUGCAUUAUGUGUUUCCCAUUUUAACAGCUCCUUUUGAGGACGUGUCCCCACACCUAGCUUAAACACAGCAAUUUUCAUACAUGCCCGCCUGCUAUUUCAUAUUGUUGCUGUAAUACGCCUCCACAUCAUAGAUUUCAAAAAAGAAAGAAAAUAAACCUGACAGUGAGAAGGGUGAUGCUUGUCAACAUCUAGUGGGUUGGGGGCCCAGGUACGGUCACAAAUAACCAGGACACAGGGGAUGCAGAGCAAAGGCAGAUGCAACUGCAUGCAGCUGCAAGUUUAUUAACCCUUAUAUAGGCAUGAAUAUGGAUUACCUCACUUUCCCUUUUGGCAAGAUAUAAUAAGAUCGUUAUUCCCAUGAUACCAGGAACGACUGAGGCAAGACUAGGCAAAGAAGUGAGACUAAGCAAAGCCUUCUUCUUAAAAUAUCUGUAUAGCAAAUCACCCCUCUUCCUAGUAUCACAAUAUCCUUGUCAUAACCCAGAGAGCAUGAGAGCCGCUUCCACAAAAAACGGACACAGUACAGCAUAGUGUAAGGUAAAGUGAGAAAAACAUUUUCUUCUCAAGGGCAGCAUUGCAGCCCCUGCUUGCAUCUCUCAGCCGUCUUUCCUUGAUCCUGUCUGGGAAGUGUCUCUCAGUGACUCCUCAAUUUCUCUCUUUGUCCUUUUGUUUUAAAAGUAACACUUUCUAUAACAUAGCUAAAUGUCCUUGAAGGGGUUUAAUCAUGCAAAAAGAAAGCAAUAUAAUAUAUAAUGUAUGCAACCUUUAAUGAGUGUAUCUAUUUUCUUAGGGGUAUUAUUCAGAUACCUUCUCAGAUCUGGAUUUAACUUUGGUAAUUGUUAUCUGUCUACAAAUUCAACAAUAUCGAAUAAAUAUUCCAGUUUUCUGGCGUAAAGUCCUCGGGAGUAAGAACUAAUGAUUUUGGAAUUUGCUCGGUGUCUAUUGUUAUGUCCCUCAUUUCAUUUCUGAUUUUUAAUUCAUGUAUUGUCUCUCUUGUGCAUUGUUAGUUUGAGGAAGGGGUUGUCUCUCUUGUGGAUCUUCUCAAAAAAAAAA
rnacentral:sRNA from 1 species